UAAAUUACUGUUUAUUAUUAUUUCUCAUUUUUUUAUUUCUUCUCUUUCAUAAAGUCACUCGGUACUUUUUUAUUAUUGUUGUUAUAUUCAUGAUCCGGUGCCUAACCCAGUCCCCGUGCACAUUCCUGAGAAUGUAGCUGCUGGCGGGGACAUCAAUGAGGAUUAUGUUUAGGAGCCAGCUGCUCCUGCUACUGACACACACCC
rnacentral:lncRNA from 1 species